GACGAACGCUGGCGGCGUGCCUAAUACAUGCAAGUCGAACGCACGAAGUUGAAGAGCUUGCUCUUUAACCAAGUGAGUGGCGGACGGGUGAGUAACACGUGGGUAACCUGCCCAUUAGAGGGGGAUAACAUUCGGAAACGGAUGCUAAUACCGCAUAGUUUCAGGAAUCGCAUGAUUCUUGAAGGAAAGGUGGCUUCGGCUACCACUAAUGGAUGGACCCGCGGCGUAUUAGCUAGUUGGUGAGGUAAUGGCUCACCAAGGCAAUGAUACGUAGCCGACCUGAGAGGGUGAUCGGCCACACUGGGACUGAGACACGGCCCAGACUCCUACGGGAGGCAGCAGUAGGGAAUCUUCCGCAAUGGACGAAAGUCUGACGGAGCAACGCCGCGUGAGUGAAGAAGGUUUUCGGAUCGUAAAACUCUGUUGUUAAAGAAGAACAAGGAUGAGAGUAACUGCUCAUCCCCUGACGGUAUUUAACCAGAAAGCCACGGCUAACUACGUGCCAGCCGCCGCCGUAACAC
rnacentral:rRNA from 1 species